rnacentral:rRNA from 1 species
CCAACCAGGAUUCCCCUAGUAACGGCGAGUGAACAGGGAUUAGCCCAGCACCGAAGGUUGCGUUUGUUUAAGCGUUGACCAAUGUGGUGUUUAGGUUGCUACUUUUGAUUAUCGUUUCUGUUCAAAGUCCAAUCUUGAAUAUGGCAUUUUGUUUGGCCCGGAGAGGGUGAAAGGCCCGUAUGGACAGAACGGUUUUCAACUGUUGUAACUAUGGAGUCGGGUUGUUUGAGAAUGCAGCCCAAAGUUGGUGGUAAACUCCAUCCUAAGGCUAAAUACUGGCACGAGUCCGAUAGCGAACAAGUACCGUGA